UACGUAGGGUGCAAGCGUUGUCCGGAAUUAUUGGGCGUAAAGAGCUCGUAGGCGGUCUGUCGCGUCGGCUGUGAAAACCUGGGGCUCAACCCCAGGCCUGCAGUCGAUACGGGCAGACUAGAGUCCGGCAGGGGAGACUGGAAUUCCUGGUGUAGCGGUGAAAUACGCAGAUAUCAGGAGGAACACCGGUGGCGAAGGCGGGUCUCUGGGCCGGAACUGACGCUGAGGAGCGAAAGCCAGGGGAGCAAACGGG
rnacentral:rRNA from 1 species